UGGGGAAUAUUGGGCAAUGGGGGAAACCCUGACCCAGCAACGCCGCGUGAAGGAAGAAGGUCUUCGGAUCGUAAACUUCUAUCCCUGGUGAAGAUAAUGACGGUAGCCGAGAAGGAAGCCCCGGCUAACUACGUGCCAGCAGCCGCGGUAAUACGUAGGGGGCAAGCGUUGUCCGGAAUGAUUGGGCGUAAAGGGCGCGUAGGCGGCCUGGUAAGUCUGGAGUGAAAGUCCUGCUUUUAAGGUGGGAAUUGCUUUGGAUACUGCUGGGCUUGAGUGCAGGAGAGGUAAGUGGAAUUCCCGGUGUAGCGGUGAAAUGCGUAGAGAUCGGGAGGAACACCAGUGGCGAAGGCGACUUACUGGACUGUAACUGACGCUGAGGCGCGAAAGUGUGGGGAGCAAACAG
rnacentral:rRNA from 1 species